GUCUACGGCCAUACCAGCCUGAACAAGCCCAGUCUCGUCUGAUCUUGGAAGCUAAGAAUUCUAAAGGGCAGGGCAGAGGCAUACCUGGUUGAUUGCACAUGUUACCAUGCACA
rnacentral:rRNA from 1 species